AUAACCAAAACAAAACAGAAAAUCGUAGUAGUGUUGUUUGGCUUCUUGAAAGUGACAAGAGUUUGGAAGGAUGGUACAUCAUUAAACUCAUCAUAGUUUGCACGGCUAACUUGUAGCAUUUUAAGUAAAAGUUUUACUCACCUACAUAGUGAUCUAUCAAUGGAAACAACUCUUAAUGAUUUGGAAAACAUCUUUAUGAUAUUUAUUGGAAAGGAUUUAGGGGUUUUUUUGUAUUGUGCAUUGUGCAUUGUCC
rnacentral:lncRNA from 1 species